GCCGUUCGAGGCUUUUGAUCCUUGAGAUCUUGAGUCCCCUGGUCGCGUCUUCGACUCUCUGUCUGUGUGUUUCUUAUGUUCUGAGGCACCCGUCCAAAAGCAGGAACCCUUGUUGCGCUGGAAGCCACAAGUGGCGCCCAAACAAGGACCUGAACGGAGGAAGAUUCACCGGAGUGAAACCGAAACUUGGUAAGUGUCGGAGAGCUCCGAGAGGAGAAAGAGGCCUCAAGAAUCCACUGCCGUCACUGAAAGUAAUAAUCAUACUUGGUCUCUGAGUCCUUCUCUAAGGAGGUCACAGGACUGCAACCUUACAAAAUAGCCUGAAUUACCAAGAAGACCACACCUUGAGUGUUUAUGAGACAAAGAGAUCUAACUGCUGGCCUCUAUAGAACUGGUCACCUGGAGGCAUCAUGUCGCCAUUGUAAGUCUUCUGAUGAGAAAAUGAUUCUGUUGCUUGUUAUCAAUGCUGUAUUGUUUGAGCUAUGGCUGUAAAACCACCCCACCCCAUCUCCAAGGUGGGUUCACAGUUUUGAAGGCACUAGCCUGCUAUGAGUCCCCUUUGCCAGGCAAAACAAUAAAAUUGCCUCUUUUCUUCUAAGCUCCAAGACCUUAUCUCUGAAUUAUGUGGCUCAUCAGGGACGGGGCCGAUCUUUUGGCAACAAAAUCUUGGUGCCCACGCUGAGGCAACGACCACCCUCUUUUCUAAGAGGGGCUUCAGGUUGCACCCCACUGCCAGGCCAACAAGGCUCAAACGACUGCCACUCCAGGCUGACAGGAGGGACAACAGAAUGGAGCCCAGCAGCUGCCAGAGCCUUUUUGCCCUGGGGAUCCUUUCAUCCCAUGCCCUUCCAUCCAUCAACGGACUGCAAUCACCCGAACUAUCUCCUUGGAGGAGGAAAAGAUGUUUCUGUUUCUUCUGAAAUGUCGCAUCUGAUCUGCAGGCCUAGGCUAAAUCUGCGAUACUUCAGAGGACCCCUGAAACAUCCCAAAGAGAGAUUUUAAACUAUCACAAAGAGCCUCUGCACCGGACUGGCUUAUAGAGGACUGCUCACCUUAAAACAAUGCUCAAAUGGAGAAGAAGCUACCAGACCAGGAUGAGAAGAAGAUGACAUCUGAGGGCCAGAUACAGAACCCAUGUGGGUGCCCAGCUGGAGGAUUAAGCCCCACGAUGGACAGCCAAAAGAAAAGACACCUCUACUGGGACGUCGAAAGGUCCGUAAUGCAGAUGGAAGGCUUAAAGAUACAAACAACUCAACUGACUGAUGCUGCCCACCGUGCUCACAUGGGGCCAGAUUAAACGUUUGUGUCAAGAAGCAGAAAAUCUUCUGGAGGAACAGGAAAAACCGGUUACAGCUCCCAACCUGGUUGCAGCCACUUUCUCCCUAAUUACUAUUGCAUCUUCAGAUGCGUGCAGCAAAACUUCAGCAGACUAAUGAAGAACGCUGCUCUCUCUGCGUUCCUCCUGAUAGAAAAACAAAAAAGGGGAGAUAUGGGAAAACAAGUCAACAUGAUAUCUCCUUGAGAACAAGAAAACAAGACGUUCCCUUGUGGGGGCCUGGUAUGCAGCACAGAACUAAGGUGUUUCCUGAGGGCAAGCAACGCGGGUCUCAGAACACUGAGCCACGCAUGAGCAGAGCACUGCUCCUGCACGUCCACAAUCCCGUUUGCCUAAGGGAGUCAUUAAAGUUUCUGUGACGUUCGUCAGCCCCUUCACAAAGGGACCAGAUGGAGACAUAAAGAUGAUUAAUACUGCUUUACUACGCUUUGAACACUGGGGGUCUGUAGAUUACUAUUACUGUAUUGAAUUAUUCAAAAUUAUUUCCUGCAGUACGAUGACAAUACAUACAAUGCAAACCAGCCGUUCGAGGCUCUUGCUACUUGAGAUCUUGAGUCCCCUGGUCCCAUCUUUGAUUCUCUAUCUGUCUGUGUGUUUCUUAUGUUCUGCGGCACCCGUCCAUAAACAGGAACCCUUGUUGCGCUGGACACAGCAGGAGCGAGAGAUAUUAGAGAUUUAUUACAAAGAAUUGGCUUAUGUGAUUGUGGAGGCUGGGAAGUCUGAAAUCUGUAAAGCAGGCUGAAAAUUCUCAGGCAAGAGUUGGUGUUGCAUUCUCAAUGCAGGAAUUCUUCCUCUUCAGGGAAAUCUGUUUUUCUCUUAAGGCCUUUCAAUUGACUGAAUGAGGUCCACCCACAUUAUCAAGAGUAAGCCCCUUUACUCAAAGUCAACUGAUUAUAGAAUUAAAAAAAUUUUUUCCCCAGAUUUAUCGAGAUAUAAUUGACAAAUAACAUUGUAGUAAGCUUAAGAUGUACAAUGUAAUGAUUUGAUAAACAUGUAUGUUGCAAAGUGAUUAUAUGAGAGAAUAGAAAAAAUAUAUAUUGGUCUCUAACUCUAGUUCCUGGCACAGAGCUCCUAAAACCCUUGUAAUUUCCUAAGUAAUAACAGUACUGUGUUUUAAUAGUUGGUCUUUGACUCUGGUUCCUGACAGGAUUCCUAAAUCCCUUGGAAUUUUCUGGGUGAUAUUGGUGUCUUUCGUUUUAAUGAGGUGACUCUUGGUGGGCUCUUGGAUAGGGGCUGGUCACCCAAAAAGACCAAAGCAUAAUUAGAAGUUUGGAAUUUUCAUUCCUAUCUCCUAUUCUUCAGAGAGGGGAACGGAGUUAAUAACUGAUCAGACUUAUGUGAUGAAGCCUCCAUAAAAAUCCCAAUAGUAUGGUGCUUCCAAGCUGGUGAGCACAUCCAUGUCCUGGGAGGGCAAUGCACCCCAACUCCACAGGGACAGGAACUCUUGUGCUUGGAACUCUCCCAGACCCCUUUGAUGUAUCUCUAAAUCUGGCUUUUUAUCUGUAUUCUUUAUCAUAUCCUUUAUUAUAUAAUAAACUUAUAAAGGUAA